UGGGGAAUAUUGGACAAUGGGCGCAAGCCUGAUCCAGCCAUGCCGCGUGAGUGACGAAGGUCUUCGGAUUGUAAAGCUCUUUUUGGCGGGGACGAUAAUGACGGUACCCGCAGAAUAAGCCCCGGCUAACUUCGUGCCAGCAGCCGCGGUAAUACGAAGGGGGCUAGCGUUGUUCGGAAUUACUGGGCGUAAAGCGCACGUAGGCGGACUGAUAAGUCAGGGGUGAAAUCCCGGGGCUCAACCUCGGAACUGCCUUUGAUACUGUUAGUCUCGAGUCCGGAAGAGGUGAGUGGAAUUCCUAGUGUAGAGGUGAAAUUCGUAGAUAUUAGGAAGAACACCAGUGGCGAAGGCGGCUCACUGGUCCGGUACUGACGCUGAGGUGCGAAAGCGUGGGGAGCAAACAGGAUUAGAUACCCCCGUAGUCCCUGAGCGGGCUGGCAAGGCGCAU
rnacentral:rRNA from 1 species